UGGUGUGUAAUCUGUUAUGCUCCUAGAUUUUUCUUCCUAUUUAAAAGAGACGUUUGAGGUAAUUCCAGCUGAAAAAGUUUCAGUUACUUGCUUGGUCAUAUUGUCCUUUGAAUAUUCAAAGCUGAAGCAAAAGCAUGGGGACUGUUGCUUCUAGUAACACCCCACUUCUCUUGUCUGCACUCUGCAUGCUGUUGAGCUAAACCAGAUUAAAAAAAAAAAAAAAAAAAAAAAAAAAAAAAAGCACAGCUGCUGCUUGUCCUGUUCUCUUUCUACUUUCUUGUGCUUUGCCCCUCCCCUUUUCCAGGUGAUUGGGUUUGGGUGCCAGGCAGGGCCAAAUGGUAUAUGAGCCCCAGGCAUGCCUUCAGAGAGCUCAUUCUGCCUGGGCUGCUGUUUGGGCUGUAUCAAACCACUUGUGUAACUCUGCAGAGGACUGAAAAGAGCUUGAGUACACGCUGCAAGAGGCUUGUCCACA